rnacentral:rRNA from 1 species
UACAGAGGGUGCGAGCGUUAAUCGGAAUUACUGGGCGUAAAGCGCGCGUAGGCGGCUUUUCAAGUCGAUUGUGAAAUCCCCGGGCUUAACCUGGGAACUGCAGUCGAGACUGUCUAGCUAGAGUAUGGGAGAGGGAAGUGGAAUUUCAGGUGUAGCGGUGAAAUGCGUAGAUAUCUGAAGGAACACCGGUGGCGAAGGCGGGUCUCUGGGCCGUAACUGACGCUGAGGAGCGAAAGCGUGGGGAGCGAACAGG